AGAGUUUGAUUCUGGCUCAGGACGAACGCUGGCGGCGUGCCUAAUACAUGCAAGUCGAACGAAGCUUUCUUUCACCGAAUGCUUGCAUUCACCGAAAGAAGCUUAGUGGCAAACGGGUGAGUAACACGUAGGCAACCUGCCCAAAAGAGGGGGAUAACACUUGGAAACAGGUGCUAAUACCGCAUAACCAUGAACACUGCAUGAUGUUCAUGUAAAAGACAGCUUUUGCUGUCGCUUUUGGUUGGGCCUGCGGCGUAUUAACUUGUUGGUGGGGUAACGGCCUACCAAGGUGAUGAUACGUAGCCGAACUGAGAGGUUGAUCGGCCACAUUGGGACUGAGACACGGCCCAAACUCCUACGGGAGGCAGCAGUAGGGAAUCUUCCACAAUGGACGAAAGUCUGAUGGAGCAACGCCGCGUGAAUGAAGAAGGCCUUCGGGUCGUAAAAUUCUGUUGUCAGAGAAGAACGUGCGUGAGAGUAACUGUUCACGUAUUGACGGUAUCUGACCAGAAAGCCACGGCUAACUACGUGCCAGCAGCCGCGGUAAUACGUAGGUGGCGAGCGUUGUCCGGAUUUAUUGGGCGUAAAGGGAACGCAGGCGGUCUUUUAAGUCUGAUGUGAAAGCCUUCGGCUUAACCGAAGUAGUGCAUUGGAAACUGGAAGACUUGAGUGCAGAAGAGGAGGGUGGAACUCCAUGUGUAGCGGUG
rnacentral:rRNA from 1 species